AUUGAACGCUGGCGGCAGGCCUAACACAUGCAAGUCGAGCGGAAACGAGUUAUCUGAACCUUCGGGGAACGAUAACGGCGUCGAGCGGCGGACGGGUGAGUAAUGCCUAGGAAAUUGCCCUGAUGUGGGGGAUAACCAUUGGAAACGAUGGCUAAUACCGCAUGAUGCCUACGGGCCAAAGAGGGGGACCUUCGGGCCUCUCGCGUCAGGAUAUGCCUAGGUGGGAUUAGCUAGUUGGUGAGGUAAGGGCUCACCAAGGCGACGAUCCCUAGCUGGUCUGAGAGGAUGAUCAGCCACACUGGAACUGAGACACGGUCCAGACUCCUACGGGGGGCAGCAGUGGGGAAUAUUGCACAAUGGGCGCAAGCCUGAUGCAGCCAUGCCGCGUGUAUGAAGAAGGCCUUCGGGUUGUAAAGUACUUUCAGUCGUGAGGAAGGCGGCGUCGUUAAUAGCGGCGUUGUUUGACGUUAGCGACAGAAGAAGCACCGGCUAACUCCGUGCCAGCAGCCGCGGUAAUACGGAGGGUGCGAGCGUUAAUCGGAAUUACUGGGCGUAAAGCGCAUGCAGGUGGUUUGUUAAGUCAGAUGUGAAAGCCCGGGGCUCAACCUCGGAAUAGCAUUUGAAACUGGCAGACUAGAGUACUGUAGAGGGGGGUAGAAUUUCAGGUGUAGCGGUGAAAUGCGUAGAGAUCUGAAGGAAUACCGGUGGCGAAGGCGGCCCCCUGGACAGAUACUGACACUCAGAUGCGAAAGCGUGGGGAGCAAACAGG
rnacentral:rRNA from 1 species